CAAGGACUCAAUUCACAUAUCUGAUCAUACCUGGAGUCCAGACUUUCUCCUGAUGCCUGACCCCUUUGCCAUUAGGUCGGCUCCGUAUGACUGAGUUCUAGCCAGUGAGGUAUGGGCAGAAGUGAUGUGUACCAAUUGCGAGCUCGACUUUUGAAAUCAUCCCACGUGAUCCUCCUGCCAUCUACCAGCCAUCCUUUUUGAUCUUGAAGGUCUUAUGCCUCAGAUUGUGUAACUACAGGAUGAAGGAAGGCCACUCAACCCACACUUGGACAUGAUGUCACAGUGUUUGGACACCGCAUGAACAUGCCAAUUUCCUGUGUUGUAAUAUUUUUAUGCACUUUAAGAAGACCACCAGAAACAGCAGAGUGAGUGAAUGACUGAGGCGCAUAUUGGACAAAAAUCACUUAUCCAAGACCACGUUACUACAACCCCAGGGCACAGAAGCUAAGUCUUCCUAUUGUACUGAACUCAGUUGACUGGAAUUUGUUCAGGAAAGCAUGAAGUCAAAUGGAAGCUAGUCCGUGACUGGAUUCAUCUUUUGGUAAAAAACGAAGAGGAGACCCCAUAUCCUGGAGGUUCUUGCUUAACCCUGUCCCUAAUAAGACCUAACUUUAUGAGUCUUCUCCUUAGAGGCAGUCCUAGGGUAAGAGUGAUUAUUCCUGUGAGCCUUGUAGGUACUUUCGAAUCAAGGAAAUUAGUAGUUGAUUGCUAAUUAAUUCAGUAUUUAAUGAAUUUAAGUACCUAGGCAAUGAGGCCACAAUAGCAAAUAAGACACAGACCUGUUUUCAAAAAGUAGCCUGUAAAUAAGAUAUUUUUUUCUGCCAUGGUGGCAAAGGCAUGACUAUGGUGAUGAACAUUCAUAGGCUCACCUUCUAGCUCUGUUGUAUGUUAACUGUGUGAACUUGGGUCAAGUUAUGAAAACUCUAAGAACUCUCAAAACUCCUGAUCUGUUUUAACAUGAAAGUAAAGAUAUCUAAUUGAAUUGUUGUGAAACUUAAAUGUAAUGUGACAUCCAAAGAAUGUAGCCCAAAGUUGGAUUUCAGUAAGUGAUAAAUAGAAGUAUUUAAACAUGGGUAUGGUAUGUUCUGUAACAGAAGAAUGUCUAUGUGCUGGGGAUACCUAGAGACAGUGAAAAUUCUGUCUGGCCUGCGAAUUAU
rnacentral:lncRNA from 1 species